UCUCUUCUAUUCUAUGUUUAGUAUGCAGAAUGCUGGGGAUCAGUAUCAGAUACUCCAUUUGCAAAUAUUGCAGAACUUAAGUUGGCGCACACUAUUACAUCAGCGACAAUAUCUUUAUUGGAACCGACGUUGUCCAGCUCUAACCAGUUCUCCUGUACAAGAUCUGAGAGUGGUGUUAAACCCUUAGCUAUGUUAUUUUCUUCAUUUAGAAUUGAGACCUGUUAUCAAAAUCAGGUUGAUGACUGUUUUAUGCUUCAAAUUCUAGCUUCCUUGGUACUUGUGGUCAUACAGAUAACUCUGAUAGGUUUAUCUAACUACAGUUCUCCUGUUGUUUACUGUUUGCUAAUAUUCUGUGUUCUAAUCCUGAUGUGUACUACAGG